UACGAAGGGGGCUAGCGUUAAUCGGAAUUACUGGGCGUAAAGCGUGCGCAGGCGGUUAUGUAAGACAGAUGUGAAAUCCCCGGGCUCAACCUGGGACCUGCAUUUGUGACUGCAUAGCUAGAGUACGGUAGAGGGGGAUGGAAUUCCGCGUGUAGCAGUGAAAUGCGUAGAUAUGCGGAGGAACACCGAUGGCGAAGGCAAUCCCCUGGACCUGUACUGACGCUCAUGCACGAAAGCGUGGGGAGCAAACAGG
rnacentral:rRNA from 1 species